UCAGCCAUAACAGAGGCUUCCAAGUGGCUCUAGCAAUAUGUUAAAGGUUGCGUAACGCAGCUGUGAACUCACUGGGGUGUGACUUUGGAAAUGUCUUGAAGAUAAAUGGGGACCCAGUGCUUUCAGUGUGCUUCUCAUUAGUAGGCAAGCAUCCGAGGCAGUCAGCUGGCAGAAUCUGUGUAUCUCAGCUCCCAGUGCCCCUUGUACAGAGAGGUUGAUGUUGGGAGACCCCUCUGGCCCUUCUCUAUUAUGCUCAGAGCUAUAGAGGUCGCUCUUUAAGGGCUUUCUGAAUGAAACUUGAGGAUUAACUGAAGAGUGCUCAGCAGUAUAAAGGCAGAGGGUUGGAGAUGAAGAUCCUGCUCUUCACCCUCUAAAUCUGCUGCUGUCUUUCUCCCUCAGUAUCCUUCUCCAGAGGAAUACCAAAUUUGAUCUCCCCAGUGAUUUGAGGUCUUUAGAUUGGAAAUGCCAAGCACGCUUUGAGGCAGGGCUGGAACAGCAAUGGUGAACAACAGGAGAAGUGCAAAGGAGAUGUGCACAGCUCUUGCUAAAUGCAAAGCUGGGAAUCUCAUGCCCCUCAGGCAGGAACCAUUUUUUCAUGGGAUGAUUCACAUUUGUGUGUUAUUUGUACAGUGCACAGUGAUAACUGUGAUCCAUGAUAAGAUCAUAAUCCCUGGGAAGCCUUAUGUACCUCAGGUAAGGUAUAAGCCUGGCUUAUGAGCAGCACUGGGUAUUACCUGACUCAGAAGUCAUGCACAACUUCUAUGGGGGUUGAAGGUGUACAUCCUGUAUCCCACGUGGUGUUUUUCCUAACAUCAGGCUGGAAUAAAAUUUUCUGCCUUAC